UACGAAGGGGGGCUAGCGUUGCUCGGAAUCACUGGGCUUAAAGCGUGUGUAGGCGGACUUCUAAGUACCUUGUGAAAUCCCACAGCUUAACUGUGGAACUGCUUGGUAUACUGGUUGUCUUGAGUCAUCUAGGGGCGAGCGGAACAAGUGGUGGAGCGGUGAAAUGCGUAGAUAUCAGGAGGAACACCGGUGGCGAAGGCGGUUCUCUGGGCAUGUCCUGACGCUGAGGAGCGAAAGUGUGGGGAGCGAACAGG
rnacentral:rRNA from 1 species